ACAGGGUCUCACUGAGUGCAGCAGCACGAUCUUGGCUCACUGCAACCUCCAGCUCCCAGGUCCAAGCGAUUCUCCUGCCUCAGCCUCCUGAGUAGCUGGCAUUACAGGUAUGAACCAUCAUGCCCAGCUAAUUUUUGUGAUUUUAGUAGAGACAGGGUUUCACCAUGUUGACCAGGCUGGUCUGGAACUCCUGACCUCAAGUGAUCCGUCUGCCUCGGCCUCCUAAAGUGCUGGGAUUACAGGCAUGAGCCACCAUGCCUGGCCGCUUUCUGCAUUUUUAGUGUCACUCAACCCUUGUUGUCUCUGAUUGUCAAGGCAACGACUACGUGUAAACUAAUGUGGACAGAGUCUUGGACAGAGAAAUGCCUCAGAAAUGUUUUGUGAUGAAGAUGAAGGAGAGGCGCUGGAAGCAGAAACUGGGGAGGGGGUAGGAUUUGUGUCUCCACUUACUCUUCACCC
rnacentral:antisense_RNA from 1 species